GAGCACUAGUACUGAUGACUCGUACUGACAAGGAUGCCGUCUACAAUUCUUAUGAGGUACUGACAAGGUCAUAAUUAUUGUGCAAAAUGGAAAAAACAAAUGUUUUAUAAAGAAACGAGCUUGAAGUUCAAUUACUAUGGUCUAAAAAAUUCAAUUACAUUGCUAGUGCAUUCAGAAUUGCUAAAUUUAAAAAAAUGAAGUUCCUGUUUCAGGAUUAUGUAAGUUCAAAAUUAUUGUAUGAUGUGUGUGUCAUAGUUAUCUAAACUUCAAUUUUGACUAAUAUUCCAUUAUAGUACUACUGCAUAUUCACUUCUGAUUGCUUCUUGCUGCCACUAUUUUUAUCAUGAUUUUGUGUGUCCACCCAGGAGUGUUUUUGUUCCUGUAGGUCAGCUGCUCAACAACAGAAGCAUGUACUGCCCAGUACAUGUAUUACUAUUGCGAAGGUUCAAAAAUCUAGACUCAACAAGUUCAACGUUGAUGGUACUGUGCACAUGCGCUAAGCCGUUCUACAACAUAGCGCUAAGCCGUUCUAUGCUGCAGCUCGGGAGGUGAAGGAGCUCCCCUUGGGUUCAUCUUGCAAGUUUCGUUCAAACUUGGCCACCUAGGCUGUUCAACAGCAUCAGCAGAACCCGUUUAGUUGGUGGCGUUCCUGCAGCUGCAGAUGUGGUGCUGACAGUACUAGGCGUUGGUUGUGUUUGAUCAAAUGCCUAGGAGCUCCCAUGAUUUACACAUGGAAUCCAGAUGAUUAUGUUUCUUCAUCCCCCAAGUACUUCAAUGGUGGCUCCUUCCCGGUUGGCUCAAUUGCUGCUGGAUUUAGAAAAACUAAUAUGUGAGGAUUAUCUCAGGUUUCUUUUUGAACUUGUAGUGUUACUGUACAUGAACUUGUGCAUUACCUUGUUAUCAAUUUAUGUGUAUGUGUGUUGGUAACCACGGCUACUAGCUACUAGUUACCGAUCUGACUGUUGUAUUAGUGCAGCUGCUCUAUGUAAUUAGCCCCUUGUUGGGUGAAUCUUGUACUAUUUGCUAGC